rnacentral:rRNA from 1 species
AAAUUGAAGAGUUUGAUCAUGGCUCAGAUUGAACGCUGGCGGCAGGCCUAACACAUGCAAGUCGAACGGUAACAGGAAGCAGCUUGCUGCUUUGCUGACGAGUGGCGGACGGGUGAGUAAUGUCUGGGAAACUGCCUGAUGGAGGGGGAUAACUACUGGAAACGGUGGCUAAUACCGCAUAACGUCGCAAGACCAAAGAGGGGGACCUUCGGGCCUCUUGCCAUCAGAUGUGCCCAGAUGGGAUUAGCUUGUUGGUGAGGUAACGGCUCACCAAGGCGACGAUCCCUAGCUGGUCUGAGAGGAUGACCAGCCACACUGGAACUGAGACACGGUCCAGACUCCUACGGGAGGCAGCAGUGGGGAAUAUUGCACAAUGGGCGCAAGCCUGAUGCAGCCAUGCCGCGUGUAUGAAGAAGGCCUUCGGGUUGUAAAGUACUUUCAGCGGGGAGGAAGGUGUUGUGGUUAAUAACCGCAGCAAUUGACGUUACCCGCAGAAGAAGCACCGGCUAACUCCGUGCCAGCAGCCGCGGUAAUACGGAGGGUGCAAGCGUUAAUCGGAAUUACUGGGCGUAAAGCGCACGCAGGCGGUCUGUCAAGUCGGAUGUGAAAUCCCCGGGCUCAACCUGGGAACUGCAUUCGAAACUGGCAGGCUUGAGUCUUGUAGAGGGGGGUAGAAUUCCAGGUGUAGCGGUGAAAUGCGUAGAGAUCUGGAGGAAUACCGGUGGCGAAGGCGGCCCCCUGGACAAAGACUGACGCUCAGGUGCGAAAGUGUGGGGAGCAAACAGGAUUAGAUACCCUGGUAGUCCACGCCGUAAACGAUGUCUACUUGGAGGUUGUGCCCUUGAGGCGUGGCUUCCGGAGCUAACGCGUUAAGUAGACCGCCUGGGGAGUACGGCCGCAAGGUUAAAACUCAAAUGAAUUGACGGGGGCCCGCACAAGCGGUGGAGCAUGUGGUUUAAUUCGAUGCAACGCGAAGAACCUUACCUGGUCUUGACAUCCACAGAACUUUCCAGAGAUGGAUUGGUGCCUUCGGGAACUGUGAGACAGGUGCUGCAUGGCUGUCGUCAGCUCGUGUUGUGAAAUGUUGGGUUAAGUCCCGCAACGAGCGCAACCCUUAUCCUUUGUUGCCAGCGAUUAGGUCGGGAACUCAAAGGAGACUGCCAGUGAUAAACUGGAGGAAGGUGGGGAUGACGUCAAGUCAUCAUGGCCCUUACGACCAGGGCUACACACGUGCUACAAUGGCGCAUACAAAGAGAAGCGACCUCGCGAGAGCAAGCGGACCUCAUAAAGUGCGUCGUAGUCCGGAUUGGAGUCUGCAACUCGACUCCAUGAAGUCGGAAUCGCUAGUAAUCGUGGAUCAGAAUGCCACGGUGAAUACGUUCCCGGGCCUUGUACACACCGCCCGUCACACCAUGGGAGUGGGUUGCAAAAGAAGUAGGUAGCUUAACCUUCGGGAGGGCGCUUACCACUUUGUGAUUCAUGACUGGGGUGAAGUCGUAACAAGGUAACCGUAGGGGAACCUGCGGUUGGAUCACCUCCUUA